CAAAGUUUCACCAAGUCCCGGGCGCGCGGGGAAAGGGCGUCUCCUGGGGACGCGGGGGACGCCAGUGACGCGAGGAUGAGAAGGCUAAUGGCCUUGCCUACCUUGCUCAAUAUCAUGGGAUGAAGACGCUGACUUCUACCCCACGGAUAGAUGCAAAGAAAAUAAAGGGAAACAUCAAUUGUGGGAUGUUUGGUGAUACUCCAAAUGAAGGUGACAGAAGUUCAGGAAGAAAAAAAAAUGUGUUUGGGUUUUAUUGACUUAAAUGAAAUAAAAUCUGCAAUGUUUAUUAAUCAGA
rnacentral:sRNA from 1 species